UGCUCUGUUCUUGGUCACACUCCGAUCACAAAGUAAACUUAGAGAAACAGAAUGCUCCCUCAGCUUGCUACAGACUUGAGACGAAUGCAGCAGCUCCUAAAGAAACCUCUGUUAGUCUCUACACCCUGACUAUGUCACAGAAAAAAUAUUUGGUCUCUACCAGUGUUACUCCGAGGACAACAAUUUCAGAUUCAACGCAAAUAGACGACAUAACAGUUAUUGGUGUUGUGUCUGGAAUUAUUGCCAUUUUGAUUAUUUGCUGUAUCAUAGCUGCUAUAAUGAUUCUCAAAUCUCGAAAAGGU
rnacentral:sRNA from 1 species